rnacentral:ribozyme from 1 species
UUUUCUUGUAGAGUGUGGCGCCGAUUUGUUUACUCGGGUAAUUUUUGACCCUGUUGAGCGAUGACUGACUUUUCUAUGGGGGUUGAAGGAGAGUAAAGAGGAUGAAGGAUUUCUCACAAAUAUGAAGCGAAGAAAUACAAA